rnacentral:antisense_RNA from 1 species
ACUGUGGGUUUGUCAUAUAUAGCCUUUGUUAUGUUGAGAAGUUUACGAAGACAAAAGAGGAAUGACGACUCAGCAUAUUGUAAUUAUCCAGUUGAUAUUUAUCUUGUUCCAGUCACCUUAAGAAAGCUGUUUGGCAAGGGCAGUGACUGGAAGCUGGGAGAGAGGGUCAACAGCUGAAUCU